UACGAAGGGGGCUAGCGUUGCUCGGAAUCACUGGGCGUAAAGCACACGUAGGCGGGCUCUUAAGUCGGUGGUGAAAUCCUGGAGCUCAACUCCAGAACUGCCUCCGAUACUGAGAGUCUUCGAGUCCGGGAGAGGUGAGUGGAACUGCGAGUGUAGAGGUGAAAUUCGUAGAUAUUCGCAAGAACACCAGUGGCGAAGGCGGCUCACUGGCCCGGUACUGACGCUGAGGUGCGAAAGCGUGGGGAGCAAACAGG
rnacentral:rRNA from 1 species